AUUGAACGCUGGCGGCAUGCCUUACACAUGCAAGUCGAACGGCAGCACGGGAGCAAUCCUGGUGGCGAGUGGCGAACGGGUGAGUAAUAUAUCGGAACGUGCCCAGUCGUGGGGAUAACGUAGCGAAAGCUACGCUAAUACCGCAUACGAUCUAUGGAUGAAAGCGGGGGAUCGCAAGACCUCGCGCGAUUGGAGCGGCCGAUAUCAGAUUAGGUAGUUGGUGAGGUAAAGGCUCACCAAGCCGACGAUCUGUAGCUGGUCUGAGAGGACGACCAGCCACACUGGGACUGAGACACGGCCCAGACUCCUACGGGAGGCAGCAGUGGGAAUAUUGGACAAUGGCGAAGACCUGAUCCAGGCAAUGCCGCGUGAGUGAUGAAGG
rnacentral:rRNA from 1 species